rnacentral:rRNA from 1 species
AUUGAACGCUGGCGGCAGGCUUAACACAUGCAAGUCGAGCGGGGGAAGGUAGCUUGCUACCGGACCUAGCGGCGGACGGGUGAGUAAUGCUUAGGAAUCUGCCUAUUAGUGGGGGACAACAUCUCGAAAGGGAUGCUAAUACCGCAUACGUCCUACGGGAGAAAGCAGGGGAUCUUCGGACCUUGCGCUAAUAGAUGAGCCUAAGUCGGAUUAGCUAGUUGGUGGGGUAAAGGCCUACCAAGGCGACGAUCUGUAGCGGGUCUGAGAGGAUGAGACGCCACACUGGGACUGAGACACGGCCCAGACUCCUACGGGCGGCAGCAGUGGGGAACAUUGGCCAAUGGGGGGAACCCUGAUCCAUCCAUGCCGGGUGUGUGAAGAAGGCCUUAUGGUUGUAAAGCACUUUAAGCGAGGAGGAGGCUACUUUAGUUAAUACCUAGAGAUAGUGGACGGUACUCGCAGAAUAAGCACCGGCUAACUCUGUGCCAGCAGCCGCGGUAA